rnacentral:rRNA from 1 species
UACGUAGGUGGCAAGCGUUGUCCGGAAUUAUUGGGCGUAAAGCGCGCGCAGGUGGUUUCUUAAGUCUGAUGUGAAAGCCCACGGCUCAACCGUGGAGGGUCAUUGGAAACUGGGGACUUGAGUGCAGAAGAGGAGAGCGGAAUUCCACGUGUAGCGGUGAAAUGCGUAGAGAUGUGGAGGAACACCAGUGGCGAAGGCGGCUCUCUGGACUGUAACUGACGCUGAGGCGCGAAGCGUGGGAGCAAACAG